UUCCAGCUCCAAGAGCGUAUAUUAAAGUUGUUGCAGUUAAAAAGCUCGUAGUUGGAUUUCUGGUAUAAUGCGCCUGUCCCGGAAAUUUCUGUGUGACGGUGCGCGUUUGCCAUCCUUCUAGAAAACGUUUCUACCAUUUACUUGGCCGGACUCGCGAUCUAGAUCUUUUACUUUGAAAAAAUUAGAGUGUUUAAAGCAGGCAUAGCUUGAAUACAUUAGCAUGGAAUAAUAAUCUAGGACUUCGGUUCUAUUUUGUUGGUUUCUAGAAUUGAAGUAAUGAUUGAUAGGGAUAGUUGGGGGUGCUAGUAUUGGCCGGCCAGAGGUGAAAUUCUUGGAUUCGGUCAAGACUAACUUAUGCGAAAGCAUUCACCAAGGAUGUCUUCAUCG
rnacentral:rRNA from 1 species